UACGUAGGGGGCAAGCGUUGUCCGGAUUUAUUGGGCGUAAAGAGCGUGUAGGCGGCCUGAAAGGUCAGCUGUGAAAACUCGAGGCUCAACCUCGAGACGUCGGUUGAAACCAUCUGGCUAGAGUCCGGAAGAGGAGUGUGGAAUUCCUGGUGUAGCGGUGAAAUGCGCAGAUAUCAGGAGGAACACCGGUGGCGAAGGCGGGUCUCUGGGCCGAUACUGACACUGAGGAGCGAAAAGCGUGGGGAGCGAACAGG
rnacentral:rRNA from 1 species